rnacentral:rRNA from 1 species
CAGCCGCCACGGUAAUACGAAGGUCCCGAGCGUUGUUCCGAAUCACUGGGCGUAAAGGGAGCGUAGGCGGCGUGGUAAGUCAGAUGUGAAAUCCCGGGGCUCAACCCCGGAACUGCAUCCGAUACUGCCGUGCUAGAGGAUUGGAGAGGUAGCUGGAAUUCUUGGUGUAGCAGUGAAAUGCGUGGAGAUCAAGAGGAACACUCGAGGCGAAAGCGAGCUACUGGACAAUAUCUGACGCUGAGGCUCGAAGGCCAGGGUAGCGAAAGGGAUUAGAUACCCGCGUAGUCCCUGUCUCUUAUAC